ACGUAGGGGGCAAGCGUUGUCCGGAAUUACUGGGCGUAAAGCGCACGUAGGCGGUUUGGUAAGUUAGGUGUGAAAGUUUCCGGCUCAACUGUAAAAGUGCAUUUAAAACUGGCGGACUUGAGUACCGGAGAGGUAAGCGGAAUUCCUGGUGUAGCGGUGAAAUGCGUAGAGAUUAGGAAGAACACCGGUGGCGAAGGCGGCUUACUGGACGAUAACUGACGCUGAGGUGCGAAAGCGUGGGGAGCAAACAG
rnacentral:rRNA from 1 species